rnacentral:rRNA from 1 species
CAGCAGCCACGGUAAUACGGAGGGAGCUAGCGUUGUUCGGAAUUACUGGGCGUAAAGCGCACGUAGGCGGUUAUUCAAGUCAGAGGUGAAGGCCCGGGGCUCAACCCCGGAACUGCCUUUGAAACUAGAUGACUGGAAUCUUGGAGAGGUCAGUGGAAUUCCGAGUGUAGAGGUGAAAUUCGUAGAUAUUCGGAAGAACACCAGUGGCGAAGGCGACUGACUGGACAAGUAUUGACGCUGAGGUGCGAAAGCGUGGGGAGCAAACAGGAUUAGAUACCCGCGUAGUCCCUGUCUCUUAUAC